rfam:Saccharibacter sp. AM169, AM168, WGS project CBLY01000000 data, contig: NODE_1
CGCGGGGUGGAGCAGCCCGGUAGCUCGUCAGGCUCAUAACCUGAAGGUCGUAGGUUCAAAUCCUACCCCCGCAU